UGCAGUCGAGCGAACUGAUUAGAAGCUUGCUUCUAUGACGUUAGCGGCGGACGGGUGAGUAACACGUGGGCAACCUGCCUGUAAGACUGGGAUAACUUCGGGAAACCGAAGCUAAUACCGGAUAGGAUCUUCUCCUUCAUGGGAGAUGAUUGAAAGAUGGUUUCGGCUAUCACUUACAGAUGGGCCCGCGGUGCAUUAGCUAGUUGGUGAGGUAACGGCUCACCAAGGCAACGAUGCAUAGCCGACCUGAGAGGGUGAUCGGCCACACUGGGACUGAGACACGGCCCAGACUCCUACGGGAGGCAGCAGUAGGGAAUCUUCCGCAAUGGACGAAAGUCUGACGGAGCAACGCCGCGUGAGUGAUGAAGGCUUUCGGGUCGUAAAACUCUGUUGUUAGGGAAGAACAAGUACAAGAGUAACUGCUUGUACCUUGACGGUACCUAACCAGAAAGCCACGGCUAACUACGUGCCAGCAGCCGCGGUAAUACGUAGGUGGCAAGCGUUAUCCGGAAUUAUUGGGCGUAAAGCGCGCGCAGGCGGUUUCUUAAGUCUGAUGUGAAAGCCCACGGCUCAACCGUGGAGGGUCAUUGGAAACUGGGGAACUUGAGUGCAGAAGAGAAAAGCGGAAUUCCACGUGUAGCGGUGAAAUGCGUAGAGAUGUGGAGGAACACCAGUGGCGAAGGCGGCUUUUUUGGUCUGUAACUGACGCUGAGGCGCGAAAGCGUGG
rnacentral:rRNA from 2 species